AUUGAACGCUGGCGGCAUGCUUUACACAUGCAAGUCGAACGGCAGCGCGGGCUUCGGCCUGGCGGCGAGUGGCGAACGGGUGAGUAAUGCAUCGGAACGUGCCCAGUAGUGGGGGAUAGCCCGGCGAAAGCCGGAUUAAUACCGCAUACGACCUGAGGGUGAAAGCGGGGGACCGAAAGGCCUCGCGCUAUUUGAGCGGCCGAUGUCGGAUUUGCUAGUUGGUGGGGUAAAGGCUUACCAAGGCGACGAUCCGUAGCUGGUCUGAGAGGAGGACCAGCCACACUGGGACGGAGACACGGCCCAGAGUCCUACGGGAGGCAGCAGUGGGGAAUUGUGGACAAUGGGGGCAACCCUGAUACAGCCAGGCCGCGUGAGGGAAGAAGGCCUUCGGGUUGUAAACCGCUUUUGUUGGGGAAGAAAUGCUCUGGGCUAAUACCACGGGGGGAUGACGGUACCGGAAGAAUAAGCACCGGCUAACUACGUG
rnacentral:rRNA from 1 species